rnacentral:lncRNA from 1 species
AUUUGUUCACCAAAGUCGACAGCAACACUGCUGGCUGGCAAGCCCUUUGCAAAUAUAGUCACAACCACUUCUUCAGGCUUCUGGUAGAAUUCAUGCCUGCACAAAUCAUCAAAUCAAUCACAUACUCGAACUAUUACCAUGGUAGUUUCUGAUCAUAUGCAGUUAGAAAACAGAACAUGGCAAAAGUAAAUCAUCAAGACACUGCAGAAAGUGAAGGUCCUUGUAUAAAGUUCGAAAUCAAAAGGCAGGAAAUAAGAGAUUAAAGACGUCACUGGCAAGUUAUAGAAUUGCACUAACCUGUAUUUUGGUUUGGAUGGAGUUACUAUUGGCACCUUGCUGAUAUGGUCAUUCACUGGCUGAACAUCCUCCAUUGGGACAACAUUUUCAGGAGCUUCUGAUGCGUGCUUUGGCAGAUUAUCAGUCUCAUCU